rnacentral:piRNA from 1 species
UCCUCUUGCAACAAGUGUCAGAGGAAACUGC